AUUGAACGCUGGCGGCAUGCUCUACACAUGCAAGUCGAACGGUAACAGGUUAAGCUGACGAGUGGCGAACGGGUGAGUAAUGCAUCGGAGCGUGCCCGAUCGUGGGGGAUAACGCAGCGAAAGCUGCGCUAAUACCGCAUACGAUCUGAGGAUGAAAGCGGGGGACCGUAAGGCCUCGCGCGAUCGGAGCGGCCGAUGUCAGAUUAGGUAGUUGGUGGGGUAAAGGCUCACCAAGCCGACGAUCUGUAGCUGGUCUGAGAGGACGACCAGCCACACUGGGACUGAGACACGGCCCAGACUCCUACGGGAGGCAGCAGUGGGGAAUUUUGGACAAUGGGCGCAAGCCUGAUCCAGCAAUGCCGCGUGCAGGAAGAAGGCCUUCGGGUUGUAAACUGCUUUUGUACGGAGCGAAAAGGUCCUUUCUAAUACAGAGGGCUCAUGACGGUACCGUAAGAAUAAGCACCGGCUAACUACGUGCCAGCCGCCGCCGUAA
rnacentral:rRNA from 1 species